CAAGAUCGACUAUGUUGACUAAAGUUCUAGAUAGAGUUAUGAUAAUGACAUUUUCUAUCUAYGUGUCUUGACCAAAUCACGUGCCAGCAGUCGCGGUAAUACGUGGGAGACUAGUGUUAUUCAUCUUUAAUAGGUUUAAAGGGUACUUAGACKGUUGAUUAARCCUCAAAWGGUACUAAWCAWCUAGAGUUUUAUGCAAGAAGGGGAGUACUAAAGAGUGUAGAGAUGAAAUUCUGUCAUACCUGACUUGGAACAGACAACGGCGAAAGCNACCUUUUAUGUAAAAACUGACGUUGAAAGACGAAGGCUUAGGACACCAACAGGAUUAGAUACCCCAGCAGUCUAAGCAGACAAUGAUGAAUGUCAUAGAUUAGAAUUAUAAUUUU
rnacentral:rRNA from 1 species